AACGAACGCUGGCGGCAUGCCUAACACAUGCAAGUCGAACGCCAUGGUUUCGGCCAUGGAGUGGCGCACGGGCGAGUAACGCGUGGGAACCUGCCCAGCAGUAUGGGACAACCGCGGGAAACUGCGGCUAAUACCGUAUACGCCCGUCUUUGGGAGACCAGGGGCGGGGGAAGAUUGAUCGCUGUUGGAGGGGCCCGCGUCGGAUUAGGUAGUUGGUGGGGUAAAGGCCUACCAAGCCUGCGAUCCGUAGCUGGUCUGAGAGGAUGAUCAGCCACACUGGGACUGAGACACGGCCCAGACUCCUACGGGAGGCAGCAGUGGGGAAUAUUGGACAAUGGGCGCAAGCCUGAUCCAGCAAUGCCGCGUGAGUGAUGAAGGCCUUAGGGUUGUAAAGCUCUUUCACACGCGACGAUGAUGACGGUAGCGUGAGAAGAAGCCCCGGCUAACUCCGUGCCAGCCGCCGCGGUAAAAC
rnacentral:rRNA from 1 species